rnacentral:rRNA from 1 species
GACGAACGUUGGCGGCGUGCUUAAUACAUGCAAGUCAACUGAAGCAGUGGUAGCAAUAUCGCUGUGGAGGUGGCGCACGGGUGAGUAACACGUAGGUAAUCUGCCUUCAGGUCUGGCAUAACUCCGGGAAACCGGGGCUAAUAGCAGAUGAUGCAGCGGCUCGACAUCGAGACAGUUGUUAAAGCUAUGGCGCCUGAAGAUGAGCCUGCGUCUGAUUAGCUAGUUGGCGGGGUAACGGCCCACCAAGGCAACGAUCAGUAGCUGGUCUGAGAGGAUGAUCAGCCACACUGGAACUGAGACACGGUCCAGACUCCUACGGGAGGCAGCAGUAAGGAAUAUUGCUCAAUGGGAGAAAUCCUGAAGCAGCAACGCCGCGUGAGGGACGAAGGGCUUUUGCUUGUAAACCUCUGUAGUGAGAGAAAAAAAUCCCAAUCUUUGGGACAUGAUGGUAUCCCAAAAGUAAGCCCCGGCUAACUACGUG